rnacentral:rRNA from 1 species
GAUGAACGCUAGCGGCAGGCUUAAUACAUGCAAGUCGAGGGGCAGCACAGAUAGCAAUAUUGGGUGGCGACCGGCAAACGGGUGUGGAACACGUACACAACCUUCCUUUUAGUGUGGGAUGGCCCAGAGAAAUUUGGAUUAAUACCACAUAGUAUAUUGGAGUGGCAUCACUUUGAUAUUAAAGAUUUAUCGCUAAAAGAUGGGUGUGCGUAUGAUUAGGUAGUUGGUAGAGGUAACGGCUCACCAAGCCUUCGAUCAUUAACUGGUGUGAGAGCACGACCAGUCACACGGGCACUGAGACACGGGCCCGACUCCUACGGGAGGCAGCAGUAAGGAAUAUUGGUCAAUGGACGGAAGUCUGAACCAGCCAUGCCGCGUGAAGGAUGACGGCCCUCUGGGUUGUAAACUUCUUUUAUGUGGGACGAAAAAGGGCCAUUUUUGGUCAACUGACGGUACCAUAGGAAUAAGCACCGGCUAACUCCGUGCCAGCAGCCGCGGUAA